GAUAACUCAAAAGUUAUAAUAAUCACACAGCAUGGUUAGCUUGCUACCUCUGUGAUUAACAUUCCUGAUAUACUUUUAAGUCUUCAUGCAUUAGAACAAGAAACGGUGUGCCGGUUAACUUUGCAGUUUGCAACGUCUUAACAAAAAAAAGAAUAGUGAUAGAAGACAUACAAAACAUGCAUGACAUAUUGUCCUGCAUAAGUUCCUGUAUUUGUAGAACUCUGACCAGAGUCCACACACUUGAAGCAGGCUGGAGCUAACAACAAACUUAAUAUGAAGCUCCUUGCGAUGGAUUAGGAAAAGAAACAAUAUUCCAUCUCCAUGGAUCAAUAGCCCAGAAAGUGGCCUAAAUGCUACUCUGAAUUGCACUCCAACUAUAUGAGAUUACCAAUGAAAGGGGAUAUAUCUGCACCAGCUCUCUUUGAAUUAGACUCGAACUCCCUCUUCAGAUGGAGUCCACAGAACCUGCAAAAAGGGACCAAUGAACCAAAAUAAAUCCCACAGAUCAAAUCUCAAAAUCGAAACAGGAAGAAGAUUAAUGGACCGUCACGACAUGCUGAAGGUAGCCGUCUCCAGGUCGUCUCAUCCGCCGGCGACGGGGAGAGAGAGGCGUGGGCGACAUCUAAGGGGGUCGAGGCAGGUGGAAGAGGAGGCGCUCCCGCUUGGGAUCCCGGCCGGUCACUUGGAAAGGGAUGAUCAAAAGGUAACUUGGGAUUUGGAAUGGGGAGGAGUGAAAACUAACUUACGGACCCCUGUACAUCGAGUUCGACGGCUAUGGCUUCUUCUCUGCAGACUCCCUUGACGCACUGUCUCUUCCACUCCCGCCGCAACACAAGGACGAUCUUGG
rnacentral:lncRNA from 1 species